rnacentral:rRNA from 1 species
GACGAACGCUGGCGGCGUGCCUAAUACAUGCAAGUAGAACGCACAGUUUAUACCGUAGCUUGCUACACCAUAGACUGUGAGUUGCGAACGGGUGAGUAACGCGUAGGUAACCUGCCUGGUAGCGGGGGAUAACUAUUGGAAACGAUAGCUAAUACCGCAUAAUAUUAAUUAUUGCAUGAUAAUUAAUUGAAAGGUGCAAUUGCACCACUACCAGAUGGACCUGCGUUGUAUUAGCUAGUAGGUGAGGUAACGGCUCACCUAGGCGACGAUACAUAGCCGACCUGAGAGGGUGAUCGGUCACACUGGGACUGAGACACGGCCCAGACUCCUACGGGAGGCAGCAGUAGGGAAUCUUCGGCAAUGGACGAAAGUCUGACCGAGCAACGCCGCGUGAGUGAAGAAGGUUUUCGGAUCGUAAAGCUCUGUUGUAAGAGAAGAACGGGUGUGAGAGUGGAAAGUUCACACUGUGACGGUAUCUUACCAGAAAGGGACGGCUAACUACGUG